GUGGACACGCCUUGUAAACAAACCAAACAAAAACAAUAAAGUCACUGGUCAGUAUAAAAGACCUGACCACGAAGAAAUCGGAGCAUAUUCAUUUAGCAAAAUAAUCAACUAACAGAUUGCAGAAAAGAAAUCAUGAAGCUCAUUAUUGCUGUGCUAGUAUUUAUUUGCCUGAAUGGAGUGGUGCUAAGUCAGGGAAAUUUCGGCUCCUUUCUUGUCGGAGGUCUGCUCGGUUCCGCUCUUGGUAGACGUAGGGGUGGAUUUCACGGGGGCUAUUAUCCGAGGCCAUACUACGGCGGGUAUGGUAGAUGGGGACGAGGACACUGGGGCCGUGGACGCUAUUAUGGAUAGAACCCGCUGAAGCCGCAAAUCAAUUACACCUUAAUCAUUUAACAUUGUACAAUAAAAGUAACAUAGCAUUUCAAAAGUAUGUGCUGGUAAUCAAAAAAGUUUUAUUGUAUCAAUAUAUAUAUAUGUGUGUGUAGAUAAUAAAAAUAUCUUAACGAUU